rnacentral:rRNA from 1 species
GAUGAACGCUGGCGGCGUGCUUAACACAUGCAAGUUGAACGAUUAAAGCCCCUUCGGGGGUGUAUAAAGUGGCGAACGGGUGAGUAACACGUGGGCAAUCUGCCCCUCACUUCGGGAUAACUCAGGGAAACUUGAGCUAAUACCGGAUACUCCGAACUGAUCGCAUGGUCGGUUCGGGAAAGCUCCGACGGUGAGGGAUGAGCCCGCGGCCCAUUAGCUUGUUGGUAGGGUAACGGCCUACCAAGGCGACGAUGGGUAGCCGAGCUGAGAGGCUGAUCGGCCACACUGGGACUGAGACACGGCCCAGACUCCGACGGGAGGCAGCAGUGGGGAAUUUUGCGCAAUGGGCGAAAGCCUGACGCAGCAACGCCGCGUGCGGGAUGAAGGCUCUCGGGUCGUAAACCGCUUUCAGCAGGGAUGAAAUUGACAGUACCUGCAGAAGAAGCCCCGGCUAAGUACGUGCCAGCAGCCGCGGUAACAC